CUUGGGGGAAUGUAUAGCAAUAGCUAUUUGCACUAAAAAUUUUAGUGUAAAAUCAACGUUGAAUGAAGUUCUGGGUAGAAUUAUGAUAAUGACAUUAUCUGCCCAUAAGUCUUGACCAAAUUACGUGCCAGCAGUCGCGGUAAUACGUAGAAGACAAGUGUUAUUCAUCUUUAAUAGGUUUAAAUGGUACUUAGACGGUAAAUAAAGCCCUAAAAAAGGUACUAGUUUGCUAGAGUUUUAUGUGAGGGAGUUUUAAAGUACUACUGGUGGAGAGAUGAAAUGCAGUCAUACCUUAAAUGGCACAGGUUAAGGCGAAAGCAUCUUCUUAUGUAAAAACUGACGUUGAAGGACGAAGGCUUUGUGUCUCGAACAGGAUUAGUUACCCUAGUAGUCUAAGCAGAAAAUGAUGAAUGUCAUAGAUUAGAUUUAAUUUGAUCUAUAAAUGAAAGUGUAAGCAUUCCACCUCAAGAGUAAUUUGGCAACAUUGGAACUGAAAUCAUUAGACCGUUUCUGAAACCAGUAGUGAUGUAUGUUGUUUAAUUUGAUAAUCCGCAAAAAACCUUACCACAAUUUGAAUAGAUAUAUUUUAUCAUACAAGCGCUGCACGGCUGUCUUCAGUUAAUGUCGUGAGAUCUUGGUUAGUUCCAUUAAAUUAACGUAAACCCUUACUUUAGUUUUAAAUAAAGUAGCUCACCGCUAUAUUGGAUGUGAUAAAAGGGAUCAAGACAAGUUAUCGUGGCCUAAAUAUUGUGGGCU
rnacentral:rRNA from 1 species